rnacentral:rRNA from 1 species
UACGGAGGGUGCAAGCGUUGUCCGGAAUCACUGGGCGUAAAGGGCGCGUAGGCGGCUCAUGAAGGCUGUGGUGAAAGUCCGGGGCUCAACCUCGGAUCGGCCGUGGCGACUCGUGGGCUGGAGCACUGUAGAGGCGGGUGGAAUUCCGGGUGUAGCGGUGAAAUGCGUAGAGAUUUGGAGGAACACCAGUGGCGAAGGCGGCUUGCCAGAACGCGCUCGACGGUGAGGGAUGAAAGCUGGGGAGCAACCGG